rnacentral:rRNA from 1 species
ACUCAAAUGAAUAGACGGGGGCCCGCACAAGCGGAGGAACAUGUGGUUUAAUUCGAUGAUACGCGAGGAACCUUACCCGGGCUCGAACGGCAUUUGAAUUGGUAUGAAAGUACCAAGCCAGUAAUGGCAGAUGUCGAGGUGCUGCAUGGUUGUCGUCAGCUCGUGCCGUGAGGUGUCGGCUUAAGUGCCAUAACGAGCGCAACCCUUAUCGAUAGUUACUAGCAGGUAACGCUGAGGACUCUAUCGAGACUGCCGGCGCAAGCCGUGAGGAAGGUAGGGAUGACGUCAAAUCAGCACGGCCCUUACGUCCGGGGCGACACACGUGUUACAAUGGGCGGAACAGAGGGUAGCCACUUGGCAACAAGGCGCCAAUCCCCAAACCCGCUCCCAGUUCGGAUCGGAGUCUGCAACCCGACUCCGUGAAGCUGGAUUCGCUAGUAAUCGCGCAUCAGCCAUGGCGCGGUGAAUACGUUCCCGGGCCUUGUACACACCGCCCGU